rnacentral:rRNA from 1 species
UACGUAGGGUGCGAGCGUUGUCCGGAAUUACUGGGCGUAAAGAGCUCGUAGGUGGUUUGUCGCGUUGUUCGUGAAAACUCACAGCUUAACUGUGGGCGUGCGGGCGAUACGGGCAGACUGGAGUACUGCAGGGGAGACUGGAAUUCCUGGUGUAGCGGUGGAAUGCGCAGAUAUCAGGAGGAACACCGGUGGCGAAGGCGGGAUCCUGGGCCAGUACUGACGCUGAGGAGCGAAAGCGUGGGGAGCAAACAGG